UUCUGUUCUUCUUCUUCUCUUUCUUCUGUUCUUCAUGUCUUUCUCUCUGUUGAACUCAAAUCAAAUGAAUAGUUUUUUUUUGUGAGGGUGAUGAAUCUGGAAGCUAAUUGAGCUAUGAAAGAUGAAGAAAUCAGAAGAAAUAGAAAUUAGGGUUUAUGCUAGAAUUGAAUAAGUUGUAUAUUUGGAAGAGGGGUUCGAUUUAGAAUAUGCAGAUGGAGAUUAGAGAUGGGUAUUGUGUGUUGAGAGUAAGGGAGGAGAUUUAGCUACUGAUUCUCAACUCACAUGGAAGAAUCAGUGAAUUAGGGUUUUAUGAGAACCAGUGAUGGUGAAAGAAUUGAGUUUGAGUCCAUGAGAAAAGUUACUAAUAAUGAUGAUGAGUCGAUGGUGGUAUUCAUUGAAGAACGGAAAAACAGUAAAGAGAUAUAGUUAGGGUUUUGUUUUGGGAUGAAGGAAUCAAGAGCAGUUUUGAGAUCCAGGGACGAGGAUAAAGCUAAAGAAAGGGAUGAUGAAAUUAAAUCAGAGUAAAUAAAUUAUGUGAAAUUGAAUUAUAAACUGAGUAAUUAGUGAUGGGUUUGUUCUUAAUUAAAGUAUAGAGAAUUGUAUAAGGUUUAAUUUCAGUUUCUUUCUACCGCCUCCUCUCUCUAUUAUUCUUCUAUGUCCCUUUAUUUCUCCCCAUAUAAUUCUUGAUUUUUUUUCUUCUAAUUAUUGAUUUUUGUUCUGAUUUUUGUUUGUUUCAUUUUACUUUGUAGGUACCAAUUUUGCUGAAAAGGAUAAAUUGACUAAUUCAAUUUGCUAUUAGUAAACCUAAUCCUUUUCUCCGUUCUCCUUUUCCGUAUCUUUGUCUCAGUGCAGAGUCAUUCUUUGGUUUCACAAUGAUGCAGUAUGAGAUAAACAAAUAUGGCAGUUCAGACAAAUAUGAUUCCACAAUUAGUGGGGUUGUUGGUCCAAUUUUGCUUUUAUUAACAGCAAUCUGGAAAUGAAAGUGCAUUCUUCAAUACGAGUUGUUGGUGCAUCCCUGGAAUUUUGCUGGAGUUUAUCAAUAUCCCUCCAAUACUAUGUUCACCUCAAAAUCCAUAGGCCGUUGCAAGUGGGAUGCCUUUGAUUAAUUUGGAUCGGAUUGAGAAGCAUUAAGAGUUAAGACACCGAAAGAUUCUGAUGACAUCUUUUUGAAGAGUGUCUUUCAAUUUCAUAUUUUAUCGGGUAUUUGCUUUUGACGUCACAUUUCGCAGACUUUUAGUCAAUUGUGCCAGUUCAAUUGAAACCCACAAUUCAUCAUUUCCUAUUGGUGAGAUGCUUUUUAAAAUUUUCUCUGCAUUGUUGUUUAAUGUUUAUGUUCUUAUGAUCUUCAUAUAAGUGUUGUUUUUAGAUACGUCACCUCGACGUUAUUAUUCAACCGACAUUAUCUGCCUCCACCUGCAAUGUAAAGGUUACUGAUGUUAUGGCAUACACGUUCUGCUACUGCUUCAAUAUAAGAAGUUUAUCUCAUAAGAUGGUGAUUAGAAGUUUUUUCUCCUUUUAAAUCUGUGUUGCUUACUGCUUAAAUGGAAAUGGAACUUUCGAUGUUGGGCAAGGAAAAUUCAAGCUCUUAUAUAUGUGGACUUGGCGUUACAAGGUCUUUGAUCCCCCUCAGACUCUUUUCUUUCCAGGUACUGCGAUAAAUUUGUAAUGACAAGACAUAAUAAAUUAAUAAAAGCAGAUUAGUUUGUAA